GUCUACGGCCAUACCACCCUGAAUGCGCCCGAUGUCACCUGAUCACAGAAGCUAAGCAGGGUCGGACCUGGUUAGUACUUGGAUGGGAGGCCAUGAAUUCAAUUCCCUACCCC
rnacentral:rRNA from 1 species